CCUCGAACUUCCGUUCCCUUCCUGUCUGGAGCCAGCCAGUUUUUCAAUCUUUUUUAGGCUUUCUGUCCUGGAUCCGGAGCCCAGGUUUCUGUGCUAUGGAGAAGCUGAAAACAAACCACAGGGAGACCGCUGAGAACCCUGAAAGCCAGGAAAUGGUCCUCGGCCAUCAUGAACAUUCCAAACCAUGACACCUUUUGAUGAUGGGAGGUCACCACCCAUAUGAAUCCGUCAUCAGCCUUCCGGGUUAUGGGUGCACUUCAGAGAAAAACUAAUGACAGCCUUGGUACCGUGGACAUCUUCAUCCUCCACCGGGCUGGGUCCCCUCGCCUGUCCAGAGAGGCCACGUGAGCAGAGGAGGCCUGGCUGCCUUCCUGUCUCCAUGGAUGCUGUUGGAGUCUCCUUCAGCUGUCUGGGUUGUAACCUCUCCGGUUUUCCAAAACAGAAAUAAAUAUCCAGAUUCAUCUUU